GCCUACAGCAAUUCAAGCAACAUUACCAGCCUACAGCAAUUCGCGCAACAUUACCAGCCUACAGCAAUUCACGCAACAUUACCAGCCUACAGCAAUUCAAGCAACAUUACCAGCCUACAGCAAUUCACGCAACAUUACCAGCCUACAGCAAUUCACGCAACAUUAACAGCCCACAGCAAUUCACGCAAUAUUACCAGCCUACAGCAAUUCACGCAACAUUACCAGCCUACAGCAAUUCACGCAACAUUACCAGCCUACAGAAAUUCACGCAACAUUAACAACCCACAGCAAUUCACGCAACAUUACCAGCCCACAGCAAUUCACGCAAUACAUGCUUCAUAUUGAUUUCUAUUUAUUAAAAUACCCAAUCUAAUAAAUGCACAAUUGCAUUUUGAAAAAA